UUAAUUGAAACCAAAGAGGAGGUAUAUCACUGUUAAUGAUAUAAUUGAAAUUAUUUUCCAAUUAAG
rnacentral:tRNA from 1 species